rnacentral:rRNA from 1 species
GACGAACGCUGGCGGCGUGCCUAAUACAUGCAAGUCGAGCGAAGUUUUUCUGGUGCUUGCACUAGAAAAACUUAGCGGCGAACGGGUGAGUAACACGUAAAGAACCUGCCUCAUAGACUGGGACAACUAUUGGAAACGAUAGCUAAUACCGGAUAACAGUAUUUCUCGCAUGAGAGAUAUUUAAAAGUUGGUUAUGCUAACACUAUGAGAUGGCUUUGCGGUGCAUUAGCUAGUUGGUGGGGUAAAGGCCCACCAAGGCGACGAUGCAUAGCCGACCUGAGAGGGUGAUCGGCCACACUGGGACUGAGACACGGCCCAGACUCCUACGGGAGGCAGCAGUAGGGAAUCUUCAGCAAUGGGCGAAAGCCUGACGGAGCAACGCCGCGUGAGUGAAGAAGGAUUUCGGUUCGUAAAGCUCUGUUGUUAGGGAAGAAUGGAUAUGUAGUAACUAUACAUGUAAGAGACGGUACCUAACCAGAAAGCCACGGCUAACUACGU